rnacentral:lncRNA from 1 species
GCCACGCUAAAAGUGUGGAAAGAGUGAAAGCUUGUUUAUUUGCCAUGUUGUCACCUCUUCACAUUCCUCCUCAGUAACCGACCAUAAUGCCAAAGGAGAUGGUGGAACAAAGGAAUCUCAGAAGUCUCAGCUUGAUGACUGAGAUGGUGGCGGCGGAUGAGGAUGGGUAGUGAAGAAGCUUGUUAUCAAUGUUCAUAUGUCAGAUCUAGGACUCAUCGGUGGAGGAGGAGGUGGAGGUGUGGGAGGUAAAAGUGGUGAUGAUGGUAAAAAAUGGGUACCUCUUUCUUACUUUGCACCUUGAAACCAUUUCUUCUCCUUUUUAUCUUGAAUAACAAUAACCCUUUUUUUUUUAUUUUCUAGUUUAGCUUUCUUUUUAUAGUAGAUCAAGUUUUGCUCUUCUUUGAUUUUGUACUCUAGAGGUGAUUAAAAUAAAUUAAAAUGCUUUUAAGAAGUAAAAGAAGAUUUAUUUUCCUUUCUCCCAAUUUGAUGGGUUUUAGAAGCAUAAGAGGAAGACGAAAGAUGAGGGAGGAAGAGAUGGCGGCCUCGACAUCGGAAGCGGUGGUGGUGGAGGAAGGAGGAGAUGGUGGCGUCUCCAGUGGCAGCGUCAGUGGUGGAGGAGUAGGAGAGUAACAGUUUCCUACUUCUUUGGAAGGUUUGAACGAAGGAGGGGGGCUUGGAAGGCUUUGACCAAAUGUAUAUUUUUGACCAUUUAAUCUGAUGCGGUAUAUGAUGUGUUUCUCUCUCUCACAUGUCAUCACAUUUUUGUAGGUGAGGGAUGAGUUGCACGCACUUCAUCUCCCCAUGAUAGGUACCCAUUAAAUAUAAAAAAAAUAAAUAGAGAUACCUUAUAGGACCUCAGAAAGUAUAAAGGCCGCAGAAUUUUUUUGAAAACGUACCGGGUCCAAAAUAUGCAUAUGGCCUAAUUCUUAUGCUACCACAAAAUAUUUGCCUUGAAUUAUUAUUUACAAAUUGAGA